GACGGAUGGUGCGAGCGUUAAUCGGAAUUACUGGGCGUAAAGCGCACGCAGGCGGUUUGUUAAGCUAGAUGUGAAAGCCCCGGGCUCAACCUGGGAUGGUCAUUUAGAACUGGCAGACUAGAGUCUUGGAGAGGGGAGUGGAAUUCCAGGUGUAGCGGUGAAAUGCGUAGAUAUCUGGAGGAACAUCAGUGGCGAAGGCGACUCCCUGGCCAAAGACUGACGCUCAUGUGCGAAAGUGUGGGUAGCGAACAGG
rnacentral:rRNA from 1 species